AGGACCAAUACCAAUGGUGACAUCCAGAGUAGAGGACUUUUCUUAAAAAUAAAAGAUGCCUCACCAGCAGCCCUCCCCCACUCACAAGUACUCAGGAAUCAAACCGUAUUGCACAUGUUAAAUUGGACUCAGAAAUCAACUGGAAGCCGUGACAGAUCAUGCAACACUCUGAAUGAGAAACCCCAUUCAACAGAGGCUGCCAGUUCACUUAACACUGCCUUCACUGGUCCCUGCCACCAAGAAAGGGAAGAGUCCAUCAAGCAACUGGGUCUAGCUUACUAUUACAAUCUUUGGGCCAGAAGAUACAUCAUCCUCUUUUUAGCCUGAGUUCCUGCUCAGCCAAGGAAAGAGCCUCUGUCUCCUGCCUGAACCAACAACAAUCACAUUCACAACCACCUUUCCAUCACCUAACCAUCAAAGAGACAGGAUAACCCCACCACUGAAGCACCUGACUACAGCUGCAAACCAGUGAAGAGGUCCCCUGAUAAGCAAGUUGACACUUAUAUUUUACAUCAUGAGAUGUUAUGUUUCAUUGAAGACAUUUGGGAAAUCCUCUGAUUUAUUACUAUGAUUUUUUUCUAGUGUUUUUCUCAGAUGCUGUUCACUAUUUGAUUUCCAAAAGGGACAUUGCUUGUGGUCCCAUUCUAAAAUCCCUGAUCGGGAAAAAUGCCCAUUGAAAAGGAAGUGCAAUGGAAGUACUUUUAAAGUAGGGACUUCGGGUCUGUGCUCAGAAUAUAUCUUCCUGCCUGUAGGCAUGCAGCAGCUUUUGAAUGAUAUUCUACCUAACCUUCCCAACAUCAUUUUGUUCAAACCACAUUGCUCACAAGUGAGGGAUUCUUAAGUAAGACAGGUGAUUCAAAACAAGGAAAGCCACACAGACUAACCUACAGUACAUCAUCAUGCAUUUUGUUUUAUUUUGGAUAUGUCUUCACUACCGGUCGGA